AUACCUUAUUAUUUUUAAUGUAAAUUUUAUGUAAGCUCGAGUAUUAAUAGAAAUAAUCUUGAAACUCAAAGAAUUUGGCGGUACUAUAAUCUUUUUAGAGGAAUCUGUUAUGUAAUUGAUAGUCCACGUUGAACCUUACUUAUUUAAUUUUCUUGUAUAUCGCUGUUUAUGAGGAUACUUUUAGGUGUAAUAUAUUUUCUUGAUUAAUUAAUAUUUAAUAUUUCAAGUCAAGGUGCAGUAAAUAUGUAAGUUGUAUAAUGGAUUACAAUAAAAUCUAUUUAAUAAUGGAUUAUUAAUUAAGGUUAAUAUGAAGGUGGAUUUAAUAGUAAUUUUAUAAAGAUUAUUAAAAUGAAUUUUAAGCUCU
rnacentral:rRNA from 1 species